GAUGAACGCUGGCGGCGUGCCUAAUACAUGCAAGUCGAGCGAACGGACGAGAAGCUUGCUUCUCUGAUGUUAGCGGCGGACGGGUGAGUAACACGUGGAUAACCUACCUAUAAGACUGGGAUAACUUCGGGAAACCGGAGCUAAUACCGGAUAAUAUUUUGAACCGCAUGGUUCAAAAGUGAGAGACGGUCUUGCUGUCACUUAUAGAUGGAUCCGCGCUGCAUUAGCUAGUUGGUAAGGUAACGGCUUACCAAGGCAACGAUGCAUAGCCGACCUGAGAGGGUGAUCGGCCACACUGGAACUGAGACACGGUCCAGACUCCUACGGGAGGCAGCAGUGGGGAAUCUUCCGCAAUGGGCGAAAGCCUGACGGAGCAACGCCGCGUGAGUGAUGAAGGUCUUCGGAUCGUAAAACUCUGUUAUUAGGGAAGAACAUAUGUGUAAGUAACUGUGCACAUCUUGACGGUACCUAAUCAGAAAGCCACGGCUAACUACGUG
rnacentral:rRNA from 1 species